rnacentral:rRNA from 1 species
UACGGAGAGUGCAAACGUUGCUCGGAAUUAUUGGGCGUAAAGCGCACGUAGACGGUCGGCUAUGUCGGAUGUGAAAGCCUCGGGCUUAACCCGAGAAGUGCAUCCGAAACUGGCCGGCUUGAAUACGGAAGAGGAUCUCGGAAUUCCCGGUGUAGAGGUGAAAUUCGUAGAUAUCGGAAGGAACACCAGUGGCGAAGGCGGAGACCUGGGCCGAUACUGACGCUGAUGUGCGAAAGCGUGGGGAGCAAACAGG